rnacentral:rRNA from 1 species
UACGAAGGGUGCAAGCGUUGUUCGGAAUUACUGGCGUAAAGCGCGCGUAGGCGGGCUCGUAAGUCGAUUGUGAAAUCCCUGGGCUUAACCUGGGAACUGCAGUCGAAACUGUGAGCCUUGAAUGUCUGAGAGGAUGGCGGAAUAACCGGUGUAGUAGUGAAAUACGUAGAGAUCGGUUAGAACACCUGAGGCGAAAGGCGGCUAUCUGGCGGAACAUUGACGCUGAGGCGCGAAAGCGUGGGGAGCAAACAGG